UUUCUGGAGUACAUUUUUUUCUAGUCUACGUCAAAUGAAAUUUGAAGAGGACGUGAUAUAACGGGUUCUAUUUCUGCAGUAUGUUUGCAUAUGGACCAUAUUAUUUAUGCAGUUGUUCUAGAAUACGUUUGUUUCUGUUGUACAGUUUCAAAGUUAAAUAGUUCAAUUACAUUGUUUUAACAACCUUUAUUACAAAAAUGCAGGGAGCACAAAAAAAAGAUUGAAAGACAAAGUUCAAUGGGAAAUGAAAGGCAUACUGAUGAUUUUCCUAAUUGGUUUUGUGCAUGUAUCCUUCAACUAUCAGCACAAGGACAUGCAAGUGACGACCUUUUAAGCUUAGCAGUUGGUCCAGGACCAGUGGUGCAUCGAUGCUCUACAUUGAUGGUGAAUGGAUUUAGAUUCCAAACAAAAGAGCUUGAGUCGAGAAUGACAAUGCAAAAUUGUGGCGUUCUUGUGUGAGGAGAUGAUUCAGACUCUAAAAAGGAGUAUUAUGGCAUAAUAGAGGACAUUUACUAGUUGUCUUAUAGGGAAAAUAGGAAAGUUUACCUCUUCAGGUGUCAUUGAUGGGAUGUGGCUCAUUUAGUAAAAGAAUAUAAGAUUGACAAAUACGGUUUCACAAAUUUGAACACUCGUUGUGCCUUGCGUAUAGAUGAACCAUUUGUGUUGGCAUCUCAGUUUGAACAAGUCUUCUACUUGAAUGAUAUGGUUGACAAAGAGUGGCUUGUCGUUGUAAAACCAAAUACUUGUGACCUUUAUAAUAUGCCUGAAAAGAAUGAUAGUUGUAUAGAGGUUAAAGAUGAAGUGUUACUGAAUGGAAAAGCUUAUCAACAAGAGGAAAUUGAAUUUAAUAUGUUGCGUACUGACGAUCAAGAAAUUGAUAUCGUGGUGUCUUUACAUAGGGGUGGUGUUGAACCACAAAGCAUUAAUUAUAAUGAUGCAAGUGAACAGGCUCAGAAAAGUGUGCAUAAUCAGGAAGAGGAUUUCAUUGAUGACAACCAUAUAGAUAUGUGGGAGAAUGAAGAAUGCGAAGAAGAGAACAUUGACAUAGAGGACAGCGAUAUGGAGUGACCAAAGAAAUAGCUUUCUAUCGCAUCACGUUCAUCACAGAUUUUUGCAGAAAGUGCACAUCCCAUUCUAGAGAUUGAAAAUAGUGGUCCAGCAGGGACAAGGUUCUUAAACUAUUACAAAUAGAGAUGAUUAAAGAGGAGUUUGAAGACACCUUGUGUUUUAUUUAUGUCAAAGGCGUCGAAGAAGGAGGCAUUUGUAGAUAUCUAAUAUUUUGUUGUUUUUUGUCAAAGGUGUCAAAACAAGGAGGAGUUUGAAGACUGGAUACACUUUAUGUUUUAUUCCUUUUGGUGAUAUGUAAAUGCAUACAAUGGCACUAUGAUCAAGUAUUGGUAUGAUAAAGUAUUGGGUAGUGUAUGGUUAAUUGACUAUUUAGUAGGUAUUUAUUUAUAAUAUUCCGCUU